AGAGUUUGAUUCUGGCUCAGGAUAAACGCUGGCGGUACGUCUAAUACAUACAAGUCGAACGAGAACCUUCGGGUUCUAGUGGCGAACGGGUGAGUAACACGUAGGUAACCUGCCUUGUACUGGGGGAUAACGUCGAGAAAUCGGCGCUAAUACCGCAUAAUACUAUUAGAUCGCAUGGUCAUAUAGUCAAAACUCCGGUGGUACAAGAUGAGCUCGCGUCCAAUUAGCUAGUUGGUGAGGUAAUGGCCCACCAAGGCGACGAUUGGUAGCCGAACUGAGAGGUUGAUCGGCCACAUUGGGACUGAGACACGGCCCAGACUCCUACGGGAGGCAGCAGUGGGGAAUAUUGCGCAAUGGAGGGAACUCUGACGCAGCAACGCCGCGUGAAGGAUGAAGGUUUUCGGAUUGUAAACUUCUUUGAUCGGGGACGAAAAUGACGGUACCCGAGGAACAAGCCACGGCUAACUACGUGCCAGCAGCCGCGGUAAUACGUAGGUGGCAAGCGUUGUCCGGAAUUACUGGGUGUAAAGGGCGUGUAGGCGGGAAGGCAAGUCAGAUGUGAAAGCCCAUGGCUUAACUGUGGAACUGCAUCUGAAACUGUUUUUCUUGAGUACUGGAGAGGAAAGUGGAAUUCCUAGUGUAGCGGUGAAAUGCGUAGAGAUUAGGAGGAACACCAGUGGCGAAGGCGGCUUUCUGGACAGUAACUGACGCUGAGGCGCGAAAGCGUGGGGAGCAAACAGGAUUAGAUACCCUGGUAGUCCACGCUGUAAACGAUGGAUACUAGGUGUUGGAGAAAUUCAGUGCUGCAGUUAACGCAAUAAGUACUCCGCCUGAGUAGUACGUGCGCAAGCAUAAAACUCAAAGGAAUUGGCGGGACCUCGCACAAGCGGUGGAUCAUGUUGUUUAAUUCGAGGAUACGCGAAGAACCUUACCAGGCCUUGACAUCCCUUGCAAAGCUAUAGAGAUAUAGUAGAGGUAUUCAAGGAGACAGGUGGUGCAUGGUUGUCGUCAGCUCGUGUCGUGAGAUGUUGGGUUAAGUCCCGCAACGAGCGCAACUCUUAUCGUUAUUUGCCAUCAUUAAGUUGGGCACUAUAACGAGACUGCCAGUGAUAAAUUGGAGGAAGGUGGGAAUGACGUCAAAUCAUCAUGCCCCUUAUGGCCUGGGCUACAAACGUGAUACAAUGGUUGGAACAAAGGGAGGCAAAGCUGUGAAGCCAAGCGAACCCCAUAAAAACAAUCUCAGUUCGGAUUGAAGUCUGCAACUCGACUUCAUGAAGUCGGAAUCGCUAGUAAUCGUAGAUCAGAAUGCUACGGUGAAUAAAAUCUCGAGGUUUGUACUCACCGCCCGUCAA
rnacentral:rRNA from 1 species